rnacentral:antisense_RNA from 1 species
GAACACAAAAUGGCGACACGUGGUUAGCAUUCGUCGCCAACGAGAAAUUGGGGUCGGCCCGAAAGCUCUAGAAUGCACCCCCCUUCUUCCCCGGGGCCUUCCACCUCCGCGAGUUUUAUGACUUAAAAAACCCCACAGGCUGGUCUGAAGGUCGGAGGCCUAAUUUUAACGCGUUUUCCUCCCUUUAAUUUGAAACGCGAACGCGAAUGGCUGUAAAAUAGGAAGACAAACAUAAAGAUGAAGUGCUUAAUUCAAGGUCACACAAUGUCGGGGAUGGACCUCCAGAUUUCCUUACUGGUGAGACGUGGUCUUGUAACACAGUGGUUAAGAAUGUGACUUUGGAGCCAGCCUGCUAGGGGCUGAAUUCUGACUCAGCCAUUUACUAACUGUGUGACCUUAGGUCACAGAAUUUUCCACACUCCUUGACGGAGGUGCUUAACCCUUAUCCAUCAGCAUUCUCAGACAGCACCUCCGGUUAGGGACAGUAUCUGACCGUCCGACAUCCCUGCAGCCCCCAUGUGUCACACAGACUCAGCCUCAGGUAGAUGGUUUCCGUAGAUGGUGGCUUUCUUUGGACCCUUGACAUCAACCAGUUACUAUUUGGGGACCAGAUGUGCAGAGGUAAUGAAUACCAGGGAAUCAGGAAACCACUGGAUCAGUUCUUUGAGCCACAGAACAACACUCAUCCCAGCAGCUGGGAAGCUAUCUGCAAAAGUCCAUCUGCAGAAAGGGCUUCCUGGUCUUGCGUGUGGCUGGGCCAUUUCUCUGGAUGCAGGUUUUUCAUUAUACAGUCUUCUCAAAGAAACACCUGCUCUCAACACCUUCUCGGUGACUCCAUUUCCCC